GUGACCGUAGCUCAGUUGGCAGAGCAGCGGAUUGUGAUUCCGCGGGUCGCGGGUUCAAACCCCGUCGGUCACCCCA
rnacentral:tRNA from 1 species